CCGAGUGCGGGUCCGCGUGGCCCAACCUCCCACCCGUGCCUAUUGUACCCUGUUGCUUCGGCGGGCCCGCCAGCCUUCGGGCUGGCCGCCGGGGGGCGUCUUGCCCCCGGGCCCGUGCCCGCCGGAGACCCCAACAUGAACCCUGUUCUGAAAGCUUGGUGUCUGAGUGUGAUUGUUUGCAAUCAGUUA
rnacentral:misc_RNA from 1 species